rnacentral:rRNA from 1 species
GACGAACGCUGGAGGCGUGCUUAACACAUGCAAGUCGAACGAUGAAAUGGAGCUUGCUCCAUGGAUUAGUGGCGAACGGGUGAGUAACACGUGAAUAACCUGCCCUUAAUUUUGGAAUAACCCAGGGAAACCUGGGCUAAUACCGGAUAAGUAAACCUGUGGCAUCACAUGGUUUUGGAAAGUUUUUCGAUUAAGGAUGGAUUCGCGGCCUAUCAGCUUGUUGGUGAGGUAAUGGCUCACCAAGGCGCCGACGGGUAGCCGGCCUGAGAGGGUGAACGGCCACACUGGGACUGAGACACGGGCCAGACUCCUACGGGAGGCAGCAGUGGGGGAAAUUGCGCAACGGACGAAAGGCUGACGCAGCGACGCCUCGUGAGGGACGAAGGUCUUCGGAUUGUAAACCUCUUUCAGCAGGGACGAAGCGAAAGUGACGUUACCUGCAGAAGGAGCACCGGUUAACUAUGUGCCAGCCGCCGCCGUAA